ACCUGGGUGGCUCAGUUGGUUGAGUGUCUGACUUUGACUCAGGUCAUGAUCUCACAGCUUGUGGGUUCAAGACCCACAUCGGGCU
rnacentral:tRNA from 1 species